rnacentral:tRNA from 1 species
GAAAUAUUAGUUAAUAUAUAUAAUAAUGUCUUGUCAAGACAUAGUUACCACUGGUAUAUUUCU